rnacentral:ribozyme from 2 species
GAAAAAAAAAAAAAAAAAAAAAAAAAAAAAA